AGAACGAACGCUGGCGGCAGGCUUAACACAUGCAAGUCGAGCGCCCCGCAAGAGGAGCGGCAGACGGGUGAGUAACGCGUGGGAACAUACCCUCCGGUUCGGAAUAGCUCAGGGAAACUUGGAUUAAUACCGGAUACGGCCUAGCGGCGAAAGAUUCAUCGCCGGAGGAUUGGCCCGCGUUCGAUUAGCUAGUUGGUGAGGUAACGGCUCACCAAGGCGACGAUCGAUAGCUGGUCUGAGAGGAUGAUCAGCCACAUUGGGACUGAGACACGGCCCAAACUCCUACGGGAGGCAGCAGUGGGGAAUAUUGGACAAUGGGCGCAAGCCUGAUCCAGCCAUGCCGCGUGAGUGAUGACGGCCUUAGGGUUGUAAAGCUCUUUCGCUAGGGACGAUAAUGACGGUACCUAGACAAGAAGCCCGGCUAACUUCGUGCCAGCAGCCGC
rnacentral:rRNA from 1 species